rnacentral:rRNA from 1 species
CCUACGGGAGGCAGCAGUAGGGGAUAUUGCACAAUGGGGGAAACCCUGAUGCAGCGACGCCGCGUGGGCGAAGAAGUAUUUCGGUAUGUAAAGGCCUAUCAGCAGGGAAGAAGAAAUGACGGUACCUGAGUAAGAAGCACCGGCUAAAUACGUGCCAGCAGCCGCGGUAAUACGUAGGGUGCAAGCGUUAUCCGGAUUUACUGGGUGUAAAGGGAGCGUAGGCGGAUUUUUAAGUCAGCGGUAAAAUGUCCGGGCUCAACCCGGGCCGGCCGUUGAAACUGGGGAUCUUGAGUGGGCGAGAAGUAUGCGGAAUGCGUGGUGUAGCGGUGAAAUGCAUAGAUAUCACGCAGAACUCCGAUUGCGAAGGCAGCAUACCGGCGCCCGACUGACGCUGAGGCACGAAAGCGUGGGGAUCGAACAGGAUUAGAUACCCUUGUAGUC